GCUGUAGCGCCUUUUAGUGCUGCGUAUCCCUGCAUCCGCAUCAUCCAUUUCUGGCAUCGGCAUCAUGUUGGACAUUUUGGUGCUGAUGUUCUUCGCCAUCGUGGGGCUCGUCUUCCUGUCCUACAUCAUCUACAUGCUGUGAUGGGCGCGCUGCUGCACGGAUGUAAGGAGGAUGUGCGCUUUACCUGGCCUGCAUCCCCGCUUCCCAUCAUGGACAGCGGGAGGAGAGCUGGCCCAUAAUGGUUUCCCUUCGGCAAAAUCAACUGGGACGUGAAGAGCAAUCCAGUGGAGAGAAGAGACAGCUGGAGAAGAAAUGCAAGCUGGACUCCUCCUCUCUCUCUGCCCCCUCCACCACCACCACCACCACAACCCCCCCUGUGCUGUUUUCCCUCUCCUCUUUUUUUGGCUAUCUGUAGUUUGGCUGAUGUCUAAUUACAGGGGUGUCAGUCUAUUCUAAUACCCUCACUUGUAUUUUACUCUGAACUGACCUUUGUGUUUUCUGUUCCUCAUGCCUGUGGUUCUCCUGUGAAGAGGGGGCAUCAUACCCGUGCGCAAGUCUUCUGAAAUUGUAGAAAGGAUUUAUACGAUUGCGUGUAAUGCAGAUGUAGAAUUUGCCUUCCAGUUGCACUGUGAGCUACGUGUUUGCUCAGACUGCCCCGAGCAGUUUGGCAUUAUCAUACAUGUAAGUGUGUGUGUGGCCAACCCCCUUUGCGCUCAUUCUUGGUUUUGUUUUUUUCCAGGUUUAUGUUAGGUUGUUGCAGCAAAUAGUUGGAGAGACUCGGUUUUCUUGGUGGCUCUGGACAGUUCUCAUAUUUGCUGGCACCCUGUUUGCCCUCAGUGUUGAUUUUUCCCUCUUCAUGUUCUGCCCAUAUUAAUGUUGUCCUGCUCAUUACAAUCCACAACCAGGUCAAAAGGGAAUAUGUCAGCGCAAUAACUCAGUAUCUCUGCCAUAAUGAUGAUAUAUCUCUUCCACUUAACACAGUCGCUCUGAUGUCAUUACCAAUAGCCAACAAUUCUGUUAAUUGAUGCUACAAUCAAACUGAUAUGACUCAGUAUUUUUUGUCACAUGGAUUACUUUUGGCUAUGAAUGACAUGCAGCGGUGUUACCUGAAGAGCAAUGGUUCGAGUUGCAAAAUGCAUCUGGAUGCUUCUCAGUUUUAUUACCAAAUAUAAUUACUCAUUACAUGAUUAUGUUGUUGCUGCAUACGAGCAAGUGUUAAGUUUACCGGUGCCAAAGUUAAUGGCAGUGUUUCACAUGAUAUGUCGAAUAAAGAUGAUUUCACUAUAA